rnacentral:rRNA from 1 species
AGGAUGAACGCUGGCGGCGUGCCUAAAACAUGCAAGUCAUACGGUCUACCUUCGGGUAGACAGUGGCAAACGGGUGAGUAACACGUGGGAACACGCCUUCGAGUGGGGAAUAACGCUGAGAAAUCAGUGCUAAUACCGCAUAUGGUCUAACGACUAAAGCAGUAAUGCGCUCGGAGAGUGGCCCGCGUCCGAUUAGCUAGUUGGUGGGGUAAUGGCCUACCAAGGCGGUGAUCGGUAGCUGGUCUGAGAGGAUGGUCAGCCACACUGGGACUGCGAACGGCCCAGACUCCUACGGGAGGCAGCAGUUAGGAAUUUUCGGCAAUGGACGAAAGUCUGACCGAGCGACGCCGCGUGGAGGAUGAAGCCUUUCGGGGUGUAAACUCCUUUUCUGCGGGAAGAUAAUGACGGUACCGCGAGGAAUAAGCACCGGCUAACUACGCGCCAGCAGCCGC